UGGACUUGGAAUCAGAAAACCUGCCAGCUGUGGUAGACUCAUUUCCAUAUCUGAAAUUGUGAGUAAUAUUAUCUAUACCUAAUAGGUUUCAUUCAUUUAUUCAACACAUUUAUCAAGCACUUACUACAUGCAGGAUACUAUUCUAUAUGAUGGGCACACAAAUUAACCAAAGUUCCUCCUCUCAUGACGUUUGCAUUCUAGAGGAAGAGACAGAAGAUGAACACAUAUAUACACAUACAAUAUGUAAUAUCUGGUAGUGUUAAGGACUAUCAAGAACAAAAGAGUAAAGGGACAGAACAAUGAGGGAAGGGUAAAACUAUUUAAAAUAAAGUGGUCACAGAAGUCUUCCAAAUGAAGUGAGGUAAUGAUUUAAGUAAAAAUCUUGGGGAGCCACUGCGCCCGGCUCUGACUUAAAUUUUAUAAGGAUUACUCUGGCCACUGUGGUAUUGCCAAUCUAGGAGGUUAUUAUAAUAGUUUAAAUAAAAGAUAGUGGCUUGGGCUUAGGUAGACGUAAUGAAUGUUUUGAGAAGUGGUUUAUUCUAUGUAUUUUGAAGACAAUUGACAGGACUUGUUGGUGAGCUGUAUCUGGAUAUAGGGAAACAGAUAGAUCAAGAUGACUCUUCAGUUUUAGACUGAACAAUUGGGUGAUGCCUUUUACUAAGAGAGGGGGAAGGAAGAGAAGCAGGUUUGCUGAGGGCAGGGAAGCAAGAGCUUCCUUUAGGACAUGUGAAGUUUAACACACAGUAGAGAUACCAAGUGGGCAGAAAGAAAGAGGUAAGGGCAAGACACAGAAAUGUGAGGAUGAUCAGCGUAUAUAUAGAUGGUAUAUAAAGCCAUGGAA
rnacentral:lncRNA from 1 species